GGGUGUGUAGCUCAGCCUGGUAGAGCAACUGUCUUAUACGCAGUAUGUCGCCGGUCCGAAUCCGGCCUCGCCCA
rnacentral:tRNA from 1 species